CUGUAAAGCAGGUACAGCCUCAGUGUUCACAGUAAAGCAGGUACAGCCUCAGUGUUCACAGUAAAGCAGGUACAGCCUCAGUGUUCACAGUAAAGCAGGUACAGCCUCAGUGUUCACAGUAAAACUGUAACUUAAAGCAGGUACAGCCUCAGUGUCCACAGUAAAACUGUAACUU